CUGAAUUGUCAACACGAGUUGUUGCUGGUCCUCAAUGGGGGCAUGUGCACACUCUGUUUACACAUCCACUCACACCUGUGCACCCUCUGUAGUUCUGUGGCUUGGGGGGCUCUGUCCUCCUGCUGUGGUUCUAUAUCUUUACACACGCUCUGUAAUAAAGUCUCAUGGAAUGUAUACCGCGUUUAACGCAAUACAAUA
rnacentral:misc_RNA from 1 species